rnacentral:pre_miRNA from 1 species
GGGUCUCUCUAGGUAGACCAGAUCUGAGCCCGAGUGCUCUCUGGCUAUCCAGGGAACCCAC